CUUAAUGCGACUGAGAGAGCAGAAACUCGCACACUUGCAGUUAUAUGGACCUUGAGUAGUGUUGUUACAGCCUAUAAACACAAGCAAAUCAAACAAAUAUGAUAUCAAAAUGACAAUGCUUUAUGCUUUAGUCUUACAGUUAGUAUCUAAUUUACAUAGUUUGCAAAUUGGAAGAUCCAGUUUGGAAGAUCUCAUAAACUUAUUGUAUUGUAUUAGUUGACAUGUCCAUUAGUAAUAAAUGUAUGCAUGAGUUUUAUCUUCAGGACUGUACAUGUAUGUGACAAUGUUAACAACUGAAAGCGAAGGACACACUGAAAAAUGUCAAUCAGCAAGUGAAAGCACGGACACUGAAUUAACACGCGUUACCAUUGACCAACAAAACAAUCAUAUUUGUAAAUUUGGAGGCAUUGGCCUAGAGCUGGACCAUGAGACAUUUUGGAAAUCUUAAGUUUGAAAUUAAAACAGCAGAUACAACCACUGUACUUCUUGUUCCGGCAAAUCUGUUCUAAAACCACAGCUGAAACGCAAGUCUGAUGAGAUCAAUGAAUUAUCACAGAGUGAUAUAUUAGAAUUUCUAUGAAAAAAGUUUUGCAUGAAGGUUGGAUCACUCUGAGACAAAUAAGUUUUAUUGAAUUUUAAUAAAUUUAAUUUUGACAUUUA